UGACCGCUGGCGGCGUGCCUACUACAUGCAAGUCGAGCGAACAGAUGAGGAGCUUGCUCCUCUGACGUUAGCGGCGGACGGGUGAGUAACACGUGGAUAACCUACCUAUAAGACUGGGAUAACUUCGGGAAACCGGAGCUAAUACCGGAUAAUAUAUUGAACCGCAUGGUUCAAUAGUGAAAGACGGUUUUGCUGUCACUUAUAGAUGGAUCCGCGCCGCAUUAGCUAGUUGGUAAGGUAACGGCUUACCAAGGCAACGAUGCGUAGCCGACCUGAGAGGGUGAUCGGCCACACUGGAACUGAGACACGGUCCAGACUCCUACGGGAGGCAGCAGUAGGGAAUCUUCCGCAAUGGGCGAAAGCUUGACGGAGCAACGCCGCGUGAGUGAUGAAGGUCUUCGGAUCGUAAAACUCUGUUAUUAGGGAAGAACAAAUGUGUAAGUAACUAUGCACGUCUUGACGGUACCUAAUCAGAAAGCCACGGCUAACUACGUG
rnacentral:rRNA from 1 species